AUGGGCAUGCAUACACACAGAUUAAACACAUGUAGACAUACACUCCUAGACACACACACACAUGCACAUAUAAUAAAUGUACACACACACACACCAACACACAAGCAUACGCAUACAGCCUGCUUUUGAUCAGAGCAAAACUGCUGUUUCAUAAACCUGUGUAAUAAACUUCAUAAUUUCCAUCAUCAUCACCAUCAUCAUCGGUACCAUUAUUAUACUCACCAUCAAUAACCAACAUUAUCACCAUUAUUAUCAUAAUCACUGUUUUGUUAAUUAAUUGAGAUGUGUUUUUGUUUUAUUUGUUUUAAAUCAGAUCUGUGUAUAUUUUGAUGUAGCAACUGACAUUAAUGAACAUUCACAAUUACUCUACUAAAUAACUAGCCACUUCACCAUUAUUAUUAUUAUUAUUAAAAUUAUUAUUAUUAUUAUUAUUAUUAUUAUUAUUAUUAUUAUUAUCAUUACCAUUAUUAUUAUUAUUAUUAUUAUUAUUAUUAUUAUUAUUAUUAUUAUUAUUAUUUGUUGAGCAGUGGAUGGUAGAUUUGGUAGAGUGUUGGAAACAAAAAUUGAAAAAACAGAAAAAUCUUUUACACCAUUUAGUCAUAUCUAAUUAUGGUUCAGGUUCAAAUCCAGCCUGAGGUAGUUUUUACCUUCAUCUCUCCUGGAGGAUAAAAGACAUACUGGGAAAAUUAUUUCCGUUAUUGGAAUUCAUAGAAGAUGAUGAGGUUUGCGGAAUGAACAGAAUACCAACAAGACUGAAUACCUUAUAUAGUUUUCUCGCUUUGUGCUUCAUUCCUUUGGAGAUGGAAAGGUAAUAAGAAAUGUACUUGUAAUUUGCUGUGGUCAGUUCAUUAGAAAUUUUUUUUUAAACCUGUCGUUUCCUCAGACUAUAUUCAUAGAAGACAGAAAAGAUGACAAAACUAGUACAGAAUUAGAGUAAAUGUAUGACAGCAUUUCAUAUGGCCCCUUUGAAGUUCAUCGGAUAUAUCACAUGUAUUAGGGGUGAGCCUUGAAUUAACUCUAUUAGUUCAAAUAUUGAGGUGAGAGAUAUUAAAGAAAUACUCACCUGUAAUUAUCCUGGGAGUGGUUUGCUAACUCAACUUUAGCCUCAAUCCCUUAAUGAGAAAAUAUAUUUGAUAAUAUAUAAGUGACUAAAAUUCUUGAAAACGGUGCUCUGGCAAGGUCACAGUCCUAUAACUGAAACUAGUAAAAGGACACACACACACUCUCACUUACUGUUCUUGCUCUGCUAAUUUACAUGCAAAUUUUUAAAUAUAAUUUAACCACCACCACCACCACCACCACCACCACCACCACCACACAUACCAUAAGUCUCAUUGUCAAUAAGUGCAGAAAGCGAAUGAGAAGAACUGGAACCAUUAUGUGGUUAUAUAAGAUCCUUUACAUCGUACCUCACUGUCUUAAAAUGAAGACUACAAUGUAUCAGAUUAAAAAAGGCAGGAUGGUUACAGCUGGAAUGAUCUACUUUUAUCACAGGUCAGCUCUUGAUUGUGACAGACCUAGAGCUAGACCUAAAGCUAAAGCAAGAAAAAAAAAACACAAAAAAAACAUAUCAGAAAGUCAAUCCAUGCUUCAACCACAAAUAUCUGUCGAAUUUUCAAUGAUUAUUUUAUUUUUCUUAAAUACAUUUUGUAGUAAAUGACUGCCGAAUGGAUUUUAAUUUAAUAAUAAUAAUAAUCAUAAUAAUAAUAAUAAUAACAAUAACAACAACAACAAUAAUGAUAAUAAUAAUAAUAAUAAUAAUAAUAAUAAUGAAAAACUAACAAAGUUUAUAAUUUAAUAACAAAAUUCACCUUGCUUUCAUUACAAUUUAUAUAUGGAAGAAGAAAUAUAUAUAUAUACACAUACAUAUAUACAUACAAAAAAAGUAACAAAAAAACAUUCCAUUUUCUAAUGGAUACUUUUUUUUUUUUUCGCAACCCACCCAAAAACAAUCUGAGUAAGGGUAUUUCUUCUCUUAUUUAUUUACAACUCAAACAUUCCAGAAAAGUUGAAAAAAAAAGGAGCCCCUUCACCCACAAGGACAUUCAGAAAAAAAAAAAAAAACCACCACCAACAAUAUUUUUACAACAAUUGUUUUACUUAUUUACAAUGUUUUCAAAACUGAAAGGUGCAACAAUGCAAUUUUUUUCUGCAUAUUUUGAUGCAUCGUGUGUUCCUGGAGCAAUGUUGUUUGUCUGAAACCAUAAGGUGGGGGUUACAAAGGCCUUGGGUAUUUCUUCUGCAAAGGGUCAAAGCUACUCCUCUAUGUCCCUUGUCAAGCGAGGUGUGUGGAGGUAUUGCGGUAUUGUCGGUUAUGAGAUCAAACAUGAACUGAUUCAAAAUAUUACCAUCGGUACUAAAUGACUAAGCAAGCAACCAACUACCAUUUGAGUUUCGUGUAACUCUGUAUGAAUCACUUCUCUCUAAUGACAAACCAGGUCUUAUGUGCUAUCUAGGGUUUGUGUGGUUAGCAGUGAUGAAGGGUAUUACUCCGACGAUAUGUAAAUUGCUGAAUUUACUAAUUUUCACACUCACACAAGGAUUCUACCCUCUCCUCACCAAAUUAAAAUAUUAAUAACGAAGCAUUUCAUUUUUGAUGAUGAAAUGGUGGAACAGAUGUAAAAGCAUGAAAGACAAAAAUAAAAAUGGAAGCAAAAAUAUGAGAACAUGAUGAACAUAUCAACCUUUCAUUGGAUAUAUUUCCUAAAUAUUCUUUGUCUUCUCUCUUGUGUGUAUGAGUGUGUGUGUGUGUGUAAAUGUAAAGUUAACUGAUUUGUAUAUGUGGAUAUUUCAUGACAUCCCAACUGUCAGUAUGAGUUUGUAUGUUUGAGCAAUUAUAUGAAUGUAUCUGUGUUUGCAUGUGUGAGUGUCUGUGUGUGUAUCAAAUAAUACAGGUAUAGAGACUUACAUUCAAGACUUUAAGUUUCUGUGUCAAUAAUUCAAUGGUUGUUGCACACCUUCAGCUGGUGUCAGCCCAGUGCACAUAUCACCGUCAAUUACAAACCAUGAUUUGUCAAUAUCUAUAAUCACACACACACCAUGCAUUUGAAUUUAGAAAUGUGAAGAAAACAUACUCAUAUAGGCACACAUACAUAUACACACACACACACACACAUACAAGCAUAUAUAUCCAGGCAUACAUACAUACACACAAACAUGGUGGUGUUUCAAUAUGUCCUUAGCUGUGAAGGCUAAACAAACUGAAUAAGACAUACAUGUAUAUAUAUAUAUAUAUAUAUAUAUAUAUAUGAAGAAAUAAAGAUUUCUCACAGUUGUGACAUGAAAAAUUUGCACACACAUAAAGAACAAAAAAGACAGUGAAAGACUGCAAAGAGACUACAGUUGUGGUCUUGUUUGUGGCCAUGUUCUCCACAAUGAGAUUUUGUAGCAAGUUGUGUCAGUUGGUUUUAAUAAAGACAAUUUUUUUUUUGUUUCAAGUCAUCAAUAACAAACCA
rnacentral:lncRNA from 1 species